rnacentral:ncRNA from 1 species
AUAAAUUCUAAGAAGAGAAAGAGUAAGUAAUAUUUUUGUUCUACAGAAAGUUAGUGUAUGAUGAAAGCUAAUGUGCAAUAUAUAACUGAAGAUCAUCUCAGAGAAUUGAAACUGAAAUUUUAAUAAAAAUUGAGUAAGUUUCAACGGAGUUUCACCGUUAAAAGAAAAGCGUAUUAUUUAGUACGUGUUCGAGCGCUAUAAAAUGAUUUUAACAUUUUCAUAUAUCAUUUUAUAGAAUUAGGGUGGUAUCGCGAUUUAACCUCGUCCCUUUA